AGGGGCAGGCUUUAAACUGCGUUGGCUUCUGUCUUUGCUCUGUGUCAUCUCAGACUGUUAUAACGAAGAGAGCAAGAACAGGAGAAGCGCUUCAGUCACAACAUCCUCCCUGAUACAUAUCUUCCCAAGAUGGAAUCCACGACUAUGAAAGAAGACUUGAAGCUCUAUCAGAGCACUCUGCUUCAAGAUGGUCUGAAGGAACUCCUGAAGGAGAACAAGUUUAUUGACUGCAUUCUGAAAGUAGGGGACAGGGGACUGCCUUGUCACAAACUCAUCAUGGCAGCAUGUAGCCCUUACUUCAGAGAGCUUUACUUCUCAGAAGACGGGAAGGAGAUAAGCAGUUCAAGCAAGGAGGUUGUGCUGGAAAAUGUUGACCCAACCAUAAUGGACAUGAUUGUGAAUUAUCUUUAUUCUGCAGAAAUAGACAUCACAGAUGAUAAUGUGCAGGACAUUUUUGCAGUAGCUAACCGCUUUCAGAUACCAUCUGUGUUCACGGCGUGCGUGAACUACCUGCAGAAAAAGCUCUCACUGGCAAACUGCCUGGCUAUCUUCAGACUCGGGCUGGUGCUCAACUGCCCAAGGCUGGCUAUAGCAGCAAGAGACUUCAUAGCUGAGCGAUUUGACAAACUGGCCAAGGAGGACGAUUUCCUGGAGUUCAACCCUCCUGAGCUGUUUGCCGUCAUAGGAGGUGAUUCUCUCAAUGUUGAGAAAGAGGAAAUUGUGUUUGAACUUCUGAUGAAAUGGGUCAGAAAGGACAAAGAGAAUCGGGUGAAGCUUUUAGGGGAGGCCUUUGAGCAUAUCCGCUUCAGACUACUUCCAGAAAAAUAUUUCAAAGAGAAAGUAGAAAAGGAUGACAUUAUCAAAGCUGAUCCUGAGCUUGUGAAGAAACUUCAGAUCAUCAAAGAUGCGUUUGCUGGGAAACUUCCAGAAAAGAAAGAAGGAGAAAACAUGCCUGGUUAUCUAAAUGACAACCGAAGGCUUGGCAUGUAUGCCAAAGAGCUUAUCCUGAUGAUUAAUGAUACAGCAGCCGUGGCUUAUGAUCCUGAUGAGAAUGAAUGCUCCUUAGCAGCCAUGGCAGAGCAGAUACCGCGAAACCAUGUCAGCAUCUGUACCAAGAAGAAUCAACUUUACAUUAUAGGGGGACUCUUUGUGGAUGAAGAGAACAAAGAAACUCCCCUGCAGUGCUACAUGUAUCAGCUGGACCCUCUUACUCCAGACUGGCUUGCUCUUCCACCACUGCCUUCUCCCAGAUGUCUGUUUGCUCUGGGUGAAUUUGAAAAUCUCCUAUUUGCUGUUGCCGGCAAAGAUUUACAAAGCAAUGAGUCUCUUGACUCUGUACUGUGUUAUGACAUUGAUAAGAUGAAAUGGACAGAGACGAAGAAACUUCCCUUGAGGAUACACGGUCACAGUGUGAUCUCACAAAAUGGACUGGUGUACUGUAUAGGAGGGAAGACUGAUGAAAACAAGACUAUCAACAAGAUGUUUGCAUAUAACCACAAGAGGGCAGAAUGGAAGGAGUUGGCAGCCAUGAAAACACCAAGGUCCAUGUUUGGGGCAGCUGUUCACAAAGGAAAGAUUAUUGUGGUUGGAGGAGUAAACGAGGAUGGUCUGUUAGCAUCUUGUGAAACCUACGACUUCGGAACAAACAAAUGGGAAACCUUCCGUGAGUUUGCCCAGGAGAGGAGCUCAGUUAACCUUGUCAGUGCUUGCGGUGCACUUUAUGCAGUAGGGGGUUUCACCAUGGUAGAGACAGAUAAUAAAGAGUGCGCUCCUUCAGAAAUCACAGACAUUUGGCAAUAUGAAGAGGACAAGAAGCAGUGGGCUGGAAUGUUGAGAGAGAUGCGAUAUGCAUCUAGCGCCUCUUGUGUUUCCAUACGACUAAAUGCUGUAAAAAUGCCCAAACUGUAAAAAAGGGACUCUAAGGGCUUCUCCAGGAAAGAUGCAUUAUAGAUUUCACUACUGGUACACUUACAAAUGGAAAAACGUUGGCCACAGCCAAGGCGUACGCCAUGAGGACCAGCAGGUGGGGAUCAAAAGAACCUGACAGAAUUCAAGGUAGAAGAGGUGACUAACUCCAGUUGGAUUUACACCAAAAGAAAUCACUUUCACAGUGCAGUUGCAGUAAGAAAGGAAAAACUACUCACUGAUA